CGCCUACCAUGGUUUUAACGGGUAACGGGGAAUUAGGGUUCGAUUCCGGAGAGGGAGCCUGAGAAACGGCUACCACAUCCAAGGAAGGCAGCAGGCGCGCAAAUUACCCAAUCCCGACACGGGGAGGUAGUGACAAUAAAUAACAAUACGGGGCUCAUUUGGGUCUCGUAAUUGGAAUGAGUACAAUUUAAAUCCCUUAACGAGGAACAAUUGGAGGGCAAGUCUGGUGCCAGCAGCCGCGGUAAUUCCAGCUCCAAUAGCGUAUAUUAAAGUUGUUGCAGUUAAAAAGCUCGUAGUUGAACUUCGGGGUUCACCCAUUGGUCAGGCUUAAUUGUCUGCACUGGUGAGAUGAGUCUCUACCUUCUGAGGAACUUUCAUGCCAUUUAUUUGGUGUGAUUGGAAAUCAGGACUGUUACUUUGAAAAAAAUUAGAGUGUUUAAAGCAGGCUAACGUCUGAAUACAUUAGCAUGGAAUAAUGAAAUAGGACGGACUGAUUCUAUUUCGUUGGUUUCUAGGAUCACCGUAAUGAUUAAUAGGGAUAGUUGGGGGCAUUAGUAUUCAAUUGUCAGAGGUGAAAUUCUUGGAUUUAUUGAAGACUAACUACUGCGAAAGCAUUUGCCAAGGAUGUUUUCAUUAAUCAAGAACGAAAGUUAGGGGAUCGAAGACGAUCAGAUACCGUCGUAGUCUUAACCAUAAACUAUGCCGACUAGGGAUCGGACGAAGUUAAUUUUAUAAUGACGCGUUCGGCACCUUACG
rnacentral:rRNA from 1 species